rnacentral:misc_RNA from 1 species
GAUGAAGAACGCAGCGAAAUGCGAUAAGUAAUGUGAAUUGCAGAAUUCCGUGAAUCAUCGAAUCUUUGAACGCAUAUUGCGCCCCUUGGUAUUCCAUGGGGCAUGCCUGUUCGAGCGUCAUUUGUACCUUCAAGCUCUGCUUGGUGUUGGGUGUUUGUCUCGCCUCUGCGUGUAGACUCGCCUUAAAACAAUUGGCAGCCGGCGUAUUGAUUUCGGAGCGCAGUACAUCUCGCGCUUUGCACUCAUAACGACGACGUCCAAAAGUACAUUUUUACACUCUUGACCUCGGAUCAGGUAGGGAUACCCGCUGAACUUAAGCAUAUCAAUAAGCGGAGGA